AGCAAAGCUGAUCUACCUCAGCAUGGCCCCAAAGGGUGCCCUGGGUUGAGAUGCUCCGUGGCAGCAGAACCUGAGCACAUCAGUGCCUGGCUCCAGCCAUGUGUUGCCAGCCUUACCGAGAGCACCCAGCCUGGGCUCCCUCUCGUCUGCCUGCGUUACCACCUCCAGCCCCAGAUCCCAGCAAGCCGGAUCCCUGCUCUGCAGUGGAUGGCAGUGCAGGAUGAACUUUAGGUCCGGAGAUUAAAAAAUCGGGCCCUUUAUCCACAGAGGUCAGGGAAAGUCACUUGGACGAAAGGCUUACGGACGGAUUCUUGGCUGGUAUAAUUUGUCCCGGCCCCCAAAAAGUCACAGUAAGGCUCUGCUGCUUUGCACCCACUGAACAUCUGGCCCUCGGCCUGUGGGAAGAAGGAUAAAAUGUGCCUCAUGCUUCAUGCAUUUCUAAGCAGCUGCUUUGAAGGACUCCUCACAUGGGACUGUGUGCUGUUGCUGAAAGCUCUGGAAAGGAUCGAUUGUGCACAAACAUUUCAAAACUUCAGCGUUUACAGGGCAUGAACGCAGGCUGGAAGAAAUCUCUAAUGUAGUAAGCUGCUUCUUGGCAAAUCUCUCUGCAAAUCAGGUGGGUGAGGAAGAGAUUACGUCCAGUCCCAGACGAUUAAGAGCUUCAUGAUGCCUUUCCAUGCGGGAUCUGCUUCACUAGCUCUGACAAGAUCAGGUGGUUCCUGCCUGGUACAGCUAUGUGCAGCAGUCUGGCAAACAUUGGAUGGAUUUUGCUGUGUGAAUAUGUGUGACCUCUCCCUCUGUUAUUUAUUUAUUUAUUUAUUUUAAAUCAUUAUUAAUAAUCAGGAACUACAUCUUUCAAUGUCUGUCUUUAUCUUAGUAUGGUAACUGCUCUAGCAGCUCUGCCAAAGAACUUUUGCAAAGAACAGGCUUAAAAAGUCACCUGGUAAUAUUUUUUGGUAAGAAGUUACAUUUUUUAGGGAUUCAAGUCAGUAAGUGAAAGUCAAAAUUGGCACACUGUAGGACUCCCAUUGCUUCAUCAGUUCCUUAUUAUUUUUCCUUACUAUCGGGUGAUGCCUCCAUCCACUUCUGAGGGGGCUUGACCUAAUAGCUAGGCAUGAGACCUUAUACAUUCCUUAAAAACGUAAUGCAGGAAUACAGGGUUAGUUUAUUUAUUUGUUCCUUUACCUUCAAGUCAUUUUCCAAAUGGAAGCUUUCAGAAAUUAUAUUUUUGUUAAGAUUUUGGUUAUUCCUUCCAGUUAACUGCAUCCCACGCCUGGCUGAAAACCUCAGUGUUUUUAUGAGGAACUGAGACUGAGCUAAGGUUGUACUCUCCUACCUUGUUACCAAAACCCAGCUUCAGCUUCCAGGACUAAAAAAUAUGCCAGACAGCAUUCCUAUGAGUUAAAUGGUUACCCAAAAUAGAAUAAACACAGUUUGCAAUUGAGAAGAAUUAGAGAAGGAUGCCACAGGGCUGGUUUCUCUGUUCACUAAGCAAGUUAGAUAAGCACUUGGACCAUAAGCAGAAGGAAUUAUGUCUAUAGCAGUUUUCUCUUACUGGCAUUAAAUUUUAAAAUUAA